rnacentral:rRNA from 1 species
CCUGACGCAGCAACGCCGCGUGAGUGAUGAAGGCCUUCGGGUCGUAAAGCUCUGUCAAGUGGGAAGAACCCGGUUGAUUAUAAUACAAUUAACCGCUGACGGUACCACUGAAGGAAGCACCGGCUAACUCCGUGCCAGCAGCCGCGGUAAUACGGGGGGUGCAAGCGUUAUUCGGAAUCAUUGGGCGUAAAGGGCGCGUAGGCGGUUUUUUAAGUCGGAUGUGAAAGCCCGGGGCUUAACCCCGGAAGUGCAUUUGAAACUGAAAGACUUGAGUAUGGGAGAGGGAAGUGGAAUUCCUGGUGUAGAGGUGAAAUUCGUAGAUAUCAGGAGGAACACCGGUGGCGAAGGCGACUUCCUGGACCAAUACUGACGCUGAGGCGCGAAGGCGUGGGUAGCAAACAGGAUUAGAUACCCUGGUAGUCCACGCAGUAAACGGUGAACACUAGGUGUAGCGGGUAUUGACCCCUGCUGUGCCGAAGUUAACGCAUUAAGUGUUCCGCCUGGGAAGUACGAUCGCAAGAUUAAAACUCAAAGGAAUUGACGGGGGCCCGCACAAGCGGUGGAGCAUGUGGUUUAAUUCGACGCAACGCGAAGAACCUUACCUGGAUUUGACAUCCCGGGAAUUCUCUUGAAAGAGAGAAGUGCCCUUCGGGGAGCCCGGAGACAGGUGCUGCAUGGCUGUCGUCAGCUCGUGUCGUGAGAUGUUGGGUUAAGUUCCGCAACGAGNGCAACCCUUGUCUUUAGUUACCAUCAUUCAGUUGGGGACUCUAAAGAUACUGCCCCGGUAAACGGGGAGGAAGGUGGGGAUGACGUCAAGUCCUCAUGGCCUUUAUAUCCAGGGCUACACACGUGCUACAAUGGGCUGUACAAAAGGUUGCAAACCCGCGAGGGUAAGCUAAUCCUGUAAAACAGUUCUAAGUUCGGAUUGGAGUCUGCAACUCGACUCCAUGAAGCUGGAAUCGCUAGUAAUCGCGGAUCAGCACGCCGCGGUGAAUACGUUCCCGGGCCUUGUACACACCGCCC